UACGUAGGGGGCAAGCGUUGUCCGGAUUCAUUGGGCGUAAAGCGCGUGUAGGCGGCCAGGUAGGUCCGGUGUGAAAACUCGAGGCUCAACCUCGAGGGGUCAUCGGAAACCAUCUGGCUAGAGUCCGGAAGAGGAGAGUGGAAUUCCCGGUGUAGCAGUGAAAUGCGCAGAUAUCGGGAAGAACACCUAUGGCGAAGGCAGCUCUCUGGGACGGUACUGACGCUGAGACGCGAAAGCGUGGGGAGCGAACAGG
rnacentral:rRNA from 1 species